CAGGCCUAACACAUGCAAGUCGAACGGAAAGGCCCUGCUUUUGUGGGGUGCUCGAGUGGCGAACGGUUGAGUAACACGUGAGUAACCUGCCCUUGACUUUGGGAUAACUUCAGGAAACUGGGGCUAAUACCGGAUAGGAGCUCCUGCUGCAUGGUGGGGGUUGGAAAGUUUCGGCGGUUGGGGAUGGACUCGCGGCUUAUCAGCUUGUUGGUGGGGUAGUGGCUUACCAAGGCUUUGACGGGUAGCCGGCCUGAGAGGGUGACCGGCCACAUUGGGACUGAGAUACGGCCCAGACUCCUACGGGAGGCAGCAGUGGGGAAUAUUGCACAAUGGGCGGAAGCCUGAUGCAGCAACGCCGCGUGCGGGAUGACGGCCUUCGGGUUGUAAACCGCUUUCGCCUGUGACGAAGCGUGAGUGACGGUAAUGGGUAAAGAAGCACCGGCUAACUACGUGCCAGCAGCCGCGGUGAUACGUAGGGUGCGAGCGUUGUCCGGAUUUAUUGGGCGUAAAGGGCUCGUAGGUGGUUGAUCGCGUCGGAAGUGUAAUCUUGGGGCUUAACCCUGAGCGUGCUUUCGAUACGGGUUGACUUGAGGAAGGUAGGGGAGAAUGGAAUUCCUGGUGGAGCGGUGGAAUGCGCAGAUAUCAGGAGGAACACCAGUGGCGAAGGCGGUUCUCUGGGCCUUUCCUGACGCUGAGGAGCGAAAGCGUGGGGAGCGAACAGGCUUAGAUACCCUGGUAGUCCACGCUGUA
rnacentral:rRNA from 1 species